rnacentral:rRNA from 1 species
GACGGGGGGUCCAAGCGUUGUUCGGAAUCAUUGGGCGUAAAGCGGGCGUAGGUGGUCUUGCAAGUCAGGAGUGAAAGCCCUGGGCUCAACCCAGGAAGUGCUUUUGAAACUGCAAGACUUGAAUGUGGGAGAGGGUAGUAGAAUUCCAGGUGUAGUGGUGAAAUACGUAGAUAUCUGGAGGAAUACCGGUGGCGAAGGCGGCUACCUGGCCCAACAUUGACACUGAGGCCCAAAAGCGUGGGGAUCAAACAGG